GGCUUUGUGGUGUAAUGGUCAGCACGCUCGACGCAAAUUCGAGCGGUCUGUGGUUUGAGUCCCGGUUAGGACA
rnacentral:tRNA from 1 species